CCACCCCAAAGGGUGACAGACGUGCCUCCCAUUCACAUGCCUCUUUGCUGUUGGCAAAGCAAAGUCACAUCCAUCCUGGAAGGGACACCCCAGCUCUACAGAGGCCACCCAGCUGUGAGGGGAUGAGCUGCACCUCCGACGUAAAUCUACUGAGUGUUCACCCUUGCGCUGGCCCCCUAGUCCAUCCUGACUCCCUGUGUUGUGAGGCCCAUUUGUGGGAGGCAGAGUAGGGUGUGGACGAGGUGCAUAGGAUAGCUGAAGAGCUGCUCCCUGAGCCCCAGACAAUGGCUCUGAUGAAUCCAAAUAGUCAUGGAACACUGUAGCCUUUGCAAGUAAGACCAUGAGAUAUCAAGACGCCCCACAGUCACCAGCCUCACUAGUAGAAGGAAGUAAAGCAGGCAAGCACUCUCAGCAGAGAAAGGGACCAACUUCUGGGGAUACAAAGGAGAGGGAGGAUAGGGCCAGGCAUGAGGGAAAAAGUCAAGGGUAAGAGCCUGGGCAGCUGGGCAGUGGGGAGAGCUUCCAAAGGGACAAGCCAGUGGCCAGGCCACAUGGCCCUGUCUCCCAUCUUCCCUGUGGCUCUGUGGCUGAUCAGGAGCUGGGAACAGGCACAUGCUUUCUGGGCCUGGUGGCCUGGGCAGAGAGGCUAAGUGUGACUGUGGGGACCUCUUCUGCCCACGAAUCCACUGAUUCCUGCCACAAACCCAGGAGGCGGGUGGGCCCAUCUUGUUGUACAGCCUGGAUGGCUGCAGCCUGGAGAUGAAAAGGGACCUGCCCAGAGUCUCCCAGGCUGGGGCCGUUUUCCCCAGUCCUGGUAGCAGCAGCAGCGGCUGCUUUUUGUUGAGCACUUCUGUCUGCCAGGCUCUGUGCUGAGCACUUUAUAGGCACCACCGUUAGCCCACUUCUCCUACAAGGAGACCAGGACUCAGAAAGAAGGUCUUACCCAGAGCCAGUGUCAGGAGUUGAGUCAGGGUAGUUUGACUUCAUAGUCUCCGUUCUUAGCACAACUUCCCCACUCAUUCCCUCCUACCUUCUCCUUUACCCCCACUAGACAUUUUGGGUGGUCUUUUCUACUUCUUGGCCCUAGAGGUCAUUGGGCUGCUUUUCUCACCCUCAAUCCCCAGGGCUCCUCCCGGAGCCGCAAUGCUUGGGGAACUAGGGAUUUCCCUCUUUGCCUUCUGCCUGGGCCUCCUUCUUGCCCUUGAAAGAGGAACAGGGGGAGGAGUAGGUGAGGCUUUGGGGUAAGUCUUGGGGGUAGGCACAGGAGAGGUCUUCACCCCAGGCUGGAAUCUCCAGGUAGCUUAGUGUCCUCAGCUUGGUGUCCCCAGCCAAGGCAAGGAUGGGUGGGGAGAGUGGCAUUGGUCAGGGGUACAGCUAAUGAGAGUGGUCAGACACGUCCUGAUUUUUUUUUUGGAGGAUUUGAAUCCUCAGGACAUUUAGGUCCUGCAGCCACUCAACAUUUAAGGCUUAUCCCUGCCAACUCAUACUAGGGCCACCAAUAGUAGGCUGGUGCUCUGUGGGCAUUCUGUGGCCUGUAACUGUGCUGGGCUGCAGGGCUCCUGCCAAGCUAAGGGUGGUCCCUGCCCUUUGAGGGGGUGGUAGGAAACAUCUUACUUUGCUGGAAGGUCAGGGAAAACCUAGAGAGCAGAUCCUCUAAGGAUGUAGGAGCCAGACCAGGAAUGAAGGGCAAGGUAUCCCCAGCUGUGGGAAUGGUACGGGCAAAGGCGGGGUGUCAGAGCAGACCCUUAGUGGGAAAUUGUUUGAUAGGAGGUCCCCCAUGGCUCUGGGUUCCACACCUGUGGAUUCAACCAACUGCAUAUACCCUGGAUAAAUUGUGUCUGUACUGAACAUGUAGGGACUUGUUUUUUGUCAUUAUUCCCUAAACAAUAGAGUAUAAC
rnacentral:lncRNA from 1 species